rnacentral:lncRNA from 1 species
GGCUACCAGUCAAUAGGCUACCAGUCAAUUGGCUACCAGUCAAUAAGCUACCAGUCAAUAAGCUACCAGUCAAUAAGCUACCAGUCAAUAAGCUACCAGUGAGUCAUUAAGCUACCAGUCAAUAAGCUACCAGUCAAUAGGCUACCAAUAAAUAGGCUACCAGUCAAUAGGCUACCAGUCAAUAAGCUACCAGUCAAUAAGCUACCAGUCAAUAAGCUACCAGUGAGUCAUUAAGCUACCAGUCAAUAAGCUACCAGUCAAUAGGCUACCAAUAAAUAGGCUACCAGUCAAUAGGCUACCAGUCAAUAAGCUACCAGUCAAUAAGCUAACAGUCAAUAAGCUACCAGUUAAUAAGCUACCAGUCAAUAAGCUACCAGUCAAUAGGCUACCAGUCAAUAGGCAACCAGUCAAUAGGCUACCAGUCAAUAAGCUACCAGUCAAUAGGCUACCAGUUAAUAGGCUACCAGUCAAUAAGCUACCAUUGAGUCAAUAAGCUACCAGUCAAUAGGCUACCAGUCAGUAGGCUACCAGUCAAUAAGCUACCAGUCAAUAAGCUACCAUUCAAUAGGCUACCAGUCAAUAGGCUACCAGUGAGGCAAGUGCCGCUGGCUGCUGGUAAGCUCUCUUGACUUGGACAUACAUUUUUUGCCAACACAUGGCUAACCAUUGUUUAACCAGC